rnacentral:rRNA from 1 species
UACAGAGGGGGCAAGCGUUGUUCGGAAUUACUGGGCGUAAAGGGCGCGUAGGCGGCCUGUUAAGUCGAACGUGAAAUCCCCGGGCUCAACCCGGGAACUGCGUCCGAUACUGGCAGGCUUGAAUUCGGGAGAGGGAUGCGGAAUUCCAGGUGUAGCGGUGAAAUGCGUAGAUAUCUGGAGGAACACCGGUGGCGAAGGCGGCAUCCUGGACCGAGACUGACGCUGAGGCGCGAAAGCGUGGGGAGCAAACAGG